rnacentral:rRNA from 1 species
AUUGAACGCUGGCGGCAGGCCUAACACAUGCAAGUCGAGCGAGCGGCGGACGGGUGAGUAAUGUAUGGGGACUGCCCGUUAGAGGGGGAUAACUACUGGAAACGGUGUCUAAUACCGCAUACUAUCGGAUAACCCAUAUGGGAUUAGGUAGUGGGCGGGGUAUAGGCUCCCCUAGGCGACGAUCGCUCGCUGGUCUGAGAGGAUGAUCAGCAACACUGGGACGGAGAAAAGGCCCAGACUCCUACGGAGGCAGGAGGGGGGAAUAUUGCACAAGGGGCGCAAGCCUGAUGCAGACAUGCCGCGUGUAUGAAGAAGGCCUUAGGGUUGUAAAGUCCUUUCAGCGGGGAGGCGGUACCCGAAGAAGAAGCACCGGCUAACUCCGUGCCAGCAGCCGCGGUAAUUC